rnacentral:tRNA from 1 species
GGCUGGAUAGCUCAGUUGGUAGAGCACCGGUAUGGCACCGGAGGUCGCAGGUCCAAAUCCCGCUCCAGUCA